GAUGAAAAAUAUUAACAAAAGAUGAGAAAUAAAAAAUAAAAAGCGGCCUUUAUUCCGAGAACACAGAGAGAGAUGACCGACACCCCCACCCCUGGUGUCCGAGAUCUCUCCAGCUGACACAUGGCAUGGGGGCCAGUAAAUAGCCUUGCUUUGGGGUGGAAACUAAGGCGGGCAUUAGGGAUACACAGGUAGCCCAUUGGUCCUAGGUUUGGCGACAUAUGUAAAUUUCCAGGGGCAGGAAGAUGGCGUCACAGGUAACUUCCUAGGGGCAGGGGAGAUGGGGCUUCCUGCUUCCGGUUGUGGCUUUCCUGGCUACAGUGUGCUGUCUGGGCCAAAACCCUUUCACUAAGUGCAGUAAUCCAGGAAGGCAAGGGAGACUGGCAGCUCCAUGCCUCAGCCAUGCCCAACAAGGCCCCCUUCUGUGUGGAGGCAUGAGAGUACCCAGGUGGAACAGAGGGGUGCCCUACAGGACACACAGGUACAGGCUAGAGGAAGAGGCUGCUGGCUCAUACAAUCUGCAGUUUUCUACAUGCAGGCCAGGAGAGAGCACCCGCUGUGUGGAAAGGUGCAAGCCCCCAUGCUUCUGUUGGUCCAACAGUGCUAACAGUGAACCCCAAGGUCCCCAGACAAGCUGAGCUCCAGACACGUUCACUGGCAGAUGGCUCUGUUAGCUGAGGUCUGUGCUCCACCCUCUCUGCUUCACCUGCAACCUCCUCCAACCCUCAGGACAGACAGCCUCAGAGGUUCAAGGGUAUUCAGAGCCGCAGGGGCAAGGGUGUUGGAUGUUAUGUCCCAGCAACAAGAAAAAAGUAACCAAGACAUUGAGACACAGUACUAACCCCCACAGUUUAAUGAAGGAAAUAUUUCAUUGGGAUCUGAGGUUCUGAGGACUCAGUCCAUCACUGGCUGGUUCACAAAACGAUCAUGGCAAAGGGGUGCCACAGAGCAAAGGUGCUUGUUUCAAGGUGACUGGGAAGCAGAGCUGUGGAAAAUCACAACAGAAGACAGUACCGGGCCAGAGACCCCUAGACCCACUCAUCAGGAUCUACCCAGAUAUACCCAGAGGUGUGUUCCUCCUUCUGGUAACCCCAUCAACGAGAUCACCAAAGCAACCAAGUUCCCAUUCUACCCUCAGUGUCACAGUAGCUGAGGGAGAGGAUUGAAAGUUCAUGCCUAGCCUUGCAAUUUAGUGACUUCCUGAGACCCUGUCUCACAAUCAAGAAUUUAAAAUGGGCUGCAGAUGUGGCCCCUUGUGAAGUCCUUGGGGUAACUGGAAAGAAAAUAAAGAGCAAAGAAGCAAGAUUAAAGAGAGAG